CCUUAUUCACUUUUAUGUGGUUUCGCCAAUUGGAUUCAACGCCGGAGUCAACGCCAAUUGGAGUCAACGCCGGAAUUGGAGUCAAUUGGAUUCAACGCCGGGCCUGCCGGACCCCACUGCUAUCGAGAUGGGACUGAGGUAUGCUAGUCGAACGACCAGAACUAUGUCUGGAAGUGGCACACUGCUCAGUAACACGUAGCUAACCUACCCUUAGGACGUGGAUACCCCCGAGAAAUUGGGGUUAAUCCGCGAUAGGUGUAAUGUCCUGGAAUGGUAUUACGCCUAAAGGUGUAUCAUACAUGUUUGAUAUACGCCUAAGGAUGGGGCUGCGGCCGAUCAGGCUGUUGGUGAGGUAAUGGCUCACCAAACCUUUGACCGGUACGGGCCAUGAGAGUGGUAGCCCGGAGAUGGACACUGAGACAAGGGUCCAGGCCCUAAGGGGCGCAGCAACCGCGAAACCUCCACAAUGCACUCACGUGCGAUGGGGCUAUCUCGAGUGCCACCUGAUGAAGGUGGCUUUUCCUAGGUCUUCAAAGCCUUGGGAAUAAGAGGGGGGCAAGACUGGUGUCAGCCGCCGCGGUAACACCAGCCCCUCGAGUGGUGGGGAUGAUUAUUUGGCCUAAAGCGUCCGUAGCCGGCCGAGCAAGUCUUCCGUUAAAUCCAGCGUCUCAAGCGUUGGACUGCGGGAGAUACUACACGGCUAGAGGGUGGGAGAGGUCAGCGGUAUUCUGGGGGUAGGGGCGAAAUCCUUUGAUCCCCGGAGGACCACCAGUGGCGAAGGCUGCUGACUAGAACACGUCUG
rnacentral:rRNA from 1 species